rnacentral:rRNA from 1 species
UACGGAGGGUGCGGGCGUUGUCCGGAAUCACUGGGCGUAAAGGGCGCGUAGGCGGCGCGGGAAGUCAUCGGUGAAAGUUCAGGGCUCAACUCUGAAUCGGCCGGUGAUACUCUCGUGCUUGAGCACUGUAGAGGCAGGUGGAAUUCCGGGUGUAGCGGUGAAAUGCGCAGAUAUCAGGAGGAACACCAAUGGCGAAGGCAGAUCUCUGGGCCGUAACUGACGCUGAGGAGCGAAAGCAUGGGGAGCGAACAGG